rnacentral:rRNA from 1 species
UUUUCCUACGGGAGGCAGCAGUGGGGAAUAUUGGACAAUGGGGGGAACCCUGAUCCAGCGACGCCGCGUGAGUGAAGAAGAAUUUCGGUAUGUAAAGCUCUAUCAGCAGGGAAGAAAGAAAUGACGGUACCUGACUAAGAAGCCCCGGCUAACUACGUGCCAGCAGCGGCGGUAAUACGUAGGGGGCACGCGUUAUCCGGAUUUACUGGGUGUAAAGGGAGCGUAGACGGCGAUGCAAGUCUGAAGUGAAAGGCGGGGGCCCAACCCCCGGACUGCUUUGGAAACUGAAUGGCUG